UACGUAGGGGGCAAGCGUUGUCCGGAUUUAUUGGGCGUAAAGAGCGUGUAGGCGGCUGGGUAGGUCCGCUGUGAAAACUCGAGGCUUAACCUCGAGACGUCGGUGGAAACCCUCCAGCUAGAGUCCGGAAGAGGAGAGUGGAAUUCCUGGUGUAGCGGUGAAAUGCGCAGAUAUCAGGAAGAACACCCGUGGCGAAAGCGGCUCUCUGGGACGGUACUGACGCUGAGACGCGAAAGCGUGGGGAGCGAACAGG
rnacentral:rRNA from 1 species